rfam:Hordeum vulgare subsp. vulgare, WGS project CAJW01000000 data, contig: morex_contig_523314
GAGAGCACAGUACGAUGAAAGUUGUAAGCUGUGUUCGGGGGGGAGUUAUUGUCUAUCGUUGGCCUCUAUGGUAGAGCCCGUCGGGGAGGCCUGAGAGGCGGUGGUUUACCCUGU